UACGGGGGGGGCAAGCGUUGUUCGGAAUUACUGGCCGUAAAGGGCUCGUAGGCGGCCAACUAAGUCAGACGUGAAAUCCCUCGGCUUAACCGGGGAACUGCAUCUGAUACUGGAUGGCUUGAGAUUGGGAGAGGGAUGCGGAAUUCCAGGUGUAGCGGUGAAAUGCGUAGAUAUCUGGAGGAACACCGGUGGCGAAGGCGGCAUCCUGGACCAACACUGACGCUGAGGAGCGAAAGCCAGGGGAGCAAACAGG
rnacentral:rRNA from 1 species